rnacentral:rRNA from 1 species
UACGUAGGUGGCGAGCGUUGUCCGGAUUUACUGGGCGUAAAGGGAGCGUAGGCGGACUUUUAAGUGAGAUGUGAAAUACUCGGGCUCAACUUGAGUGCUGCAUUUCAAACUGGAAGUCUAGAGUGCAGGAGAGGAGAAUGGAAUUCCUAGUGUAGCGGUGAAAUGCGUAGAGAUUAGGAAGAACACCAGUGGCGAAAGCGGUUCUCUGGACUGUAACUGACGCUGAGGCUCGAAAGCGUGGGGAGCAAACAGG